rnacentral:lncRNA from 10 species
UGGUACAUAAGGAUCAACCACAUUCUUUUCUUACAUUUAAAUGUACAUGUUUGUUUGGACUAGUUACACAUUUACAGGGUUCGAAAUGGGAAGGACACAGAGAAGAUCAGUCACUCCCUCUUCCGAAAGCUGCCCUUCAGGUGAAGAAAACCUUGUGACCUCCUCCUUCUCUUUUGCGGGUGCAACUGUCCCCUCUCCCAAACUCCUUGGUACUGGCAGCUCUGUGAUGAGGUUCCAUUCCUAGGAGGCAUCGCGUGUCUCUGCUUGCCUCUCAUGCUGGUCCAAUGUGUCUGAAAGACCAACGAAGCAGAUCUGCACCCAUCCUGCAGCUUGGAGCCAAGCCACUCUGAGCCCAGCCUAGAUCAGGUGGUCCCUAGAUGUCCUCCAGAUGCAUGAGCAAGAACAAAUGAUCGGAGACUUAGUUCCCUGAAUUGAAGCAUCCAGGGGAGCCUGCUGCAGCCUUCCAGCGUAAAGACUGGGGCCCAGGAACACACGAGUCCAGCUCUGGGUCCAAGCUCUGGCGGAGGAAGUAUCAGCAGCAGAUCCUGGAGGGGAAGGAGCCCCAGCACGGGUCUUACCUUGCUGUAAAUAAUCUGUAGUGUUAGAGGAACAGCCUCCCGGUCGCCAUCGAUGCCCAGCCGCUUGCUGCCAGGACCUGUGCCACACACAGACAGACCCUUCACUACCCCUGGCUUCCCCGGCUCCUCACGAACGCAGUGGCCUUGCCUCCCUGGGCCUUACCUCCCCAUCCCCUACCACAUGGACCGUGACUCCCUAGGGAUCUGUCUCACCAAGGCCCUGCCUCUCUCUCUGGCUCCACGUUCUGGGGAUCUCCACCUCCUCAGUGACCCCAUCACUCCAGGGCCCAUCUCCGCUGUGAUCACACAUUCCCAGGGUCCUGCCUCUCCAGGGCCCCAUCUCCGCUGUGAUCACACCUUCCCAGGGUCCUGCCUCUCCAGGGCCCCAUCUCCGCUGUGAUCACACCUUCCCAGGGUCCUGCCUCUCCAGGGCCCCACCUCCUGGGUAACCCUGCCUCCCCAGGGCCCACCUGCUGGUACCCACCUGACGCCUUGAUGGCACGUGUGGCAGCGGAGUGACCCAGCUCCAAGGAGUGGAUGAAGAUCUCUGUCGUCUUCUCCCCAGUGAUGAAGGCACGUAGAAGAACUGAAGUUUGAAGAACCGUGUGAGGAGUGGGCGAUUGUUCUCCAGCCGCCUGGCAAGAAGAAGAUGGUGAGAAGGGGAAUGGGCAUGGUGGCUCACGCCUGUAAUCCCAGCACUUUGGGAGGCUGAGGUGGGUGGAUCACCCGAGGCCAGGAGUUCAAGACCAGCCUGGUCAACAGAGGGAAACCCCAUCUCUACUAAGACAAAAAAAAAAAAAAAAUUAGUCAGGUGUGGUGGUGUGCACCUGUAAUCCCAGCUACUCGGGAGGCUGAGGCACAAGAAUCGCUUGAACUGGAGAGCCAGAG